AACGAACGCUGGCGGCAUGCCUAACACAUGCAAGUCGAACGAAGCCUUCGGGCUUAGUGGCGCACGGGUGCGUAACGCGUGGGAAUCUGCCCUUAGGUACGGAAUAACUCAGGGAAACUUGUGCUAAUACCGUAUGAUGUCGAGAGACCAAAGAUUUAUCGCCUAGGGAUGAGCCCGCGUAGGAUUAGCUAGUUGUGGGGUAAAGGCCUACCAAGGCGACGAUCCUUAGCUGGUCUGAGAGGAUGAUCAGCCACACUGGGACUGAGACACGGCCCAGACUCCUACGGGAGGCAGCAGUGGGGAAUAUUGGACAAUGGCGAAAGCCUGAUCCAGCAAUGCCGCGUGAGUGAAGAAGGCCUUCGGGUUGUAAA
rnacentral:rRNA from 1 species